rnacentral:rRNA from 1 species
AAUGAACGCUGGCGGCAGGCCUAACACAUGCAAGUCGAGCGAGCAUUUCGGUGCUAGCGGCGGACGGGUGAGUAACGCGUGGGAACGUGCCCUUUUCUGCGGAAUAGUCCUGGGAAACUGGGGGUAAUACCGCAUACGCCCUUUUGGGGAAAGAUUUAUCGGAGAAGGAUCGGCCCGCGUUGGAUUAGGUAGUUGGUGGGGUAAUGGCCCACCAAGCCGACGAUCCAUAGCUGGUUUGAGAGGAUGAUCAGCCACACUGGGACUGAGACACGGCCCAGACUCCUACGGGAGGCAGCAGUGGGGAAUCUUAGACAAUGGGGGCAACCCUGAUCUAGCCAUGCCGCGUGAGUGAUGAAGGCCUUAGGGUUGUAAAGCUCUUUCAGCGGGGAAGAUAAUGACGGUACCAGCAGAAGAAGCCCCGGCUAACUCCGU